rnacentral:rRNA from 1 species
GUAGGUGGCAAGCGUUGUCCGGAAUUAUUGGGCGUAAAGCGCGCGCAGGCGGUUCUUUAAGUCUGAUGUGAAAGCCCACGGCUCAACCGUGGAGGGUCAUUGGAAACUGGAGAACUUGAGUACAGAAGAGGAAAGCGGAAUUCCACGUGUAGCGGUGAAAUGCGUAGAGAUGUGGAGGAACACCAGUGGCGAAGGCGGCUUUCUGGUCUGUAACUGACGCUGAGGCGCGAAAGCGUGGGGAGCAAACAGGGAUUAGAUACCCUGGUAGUCCACGCCGUAAACGAUGAGCGCUAAGUGUUAGGGGGUUUCCGCCCCCUUAGUGCUGCAGCUAACGCAUUAAGCACUCCGCCUGGGGAUACGGCCGCAAGGCUG